rnacentral:rRNA from 1 species
UUCCUACGGGGCGCAGCAGUGGGGAAUAUUGGGCAAUGGGCGCAAGCCUGACCCAGCAACGCCGCGUGAAGGAAGAAGGCUUUCGGGUUGUAAACUUCUUUUAAGAGGGAAGAGCAGAAGACGGUACCUCUUGAAUAAGCCACGGCUAACUACGUGCCAGCAGCCGCGGUAAUACGUAGGUGGCAAGCGUUGUCCGGAUUUACUGGGUGUAAAGGGCGUGCAGCCGGGAAGACAAGUCAGAUGUGAAAUCCCGCGGCUCAACCGCGGAACUGCAUUUGAAACUGUUUUUCUUGAGUACCGGAGAG